UACGGAGGGUGCAAGCGUUAUCCGGAUUUACUGGGUUUAAAGGGUGUGUAGGCGGACUUUUAAGUCAGCGGUGAAAUUUCCGGGCUCAACCCGGAAACUGCCAUUGAUACUAUUAGUCUUGAAUAUUGUUGAGGUAGGCGGAACGGGUCAUGUAGCGGUGAAAUGCAUAGAUAUGACCCGGAACACCGAUUGCGAAGGCAGCCUACUAAGCAAUUAUUGACGCUGAGGCACGAAAGCGUGGGGAUCAAACAGG
rnacentral:rRNA from 1 species